AGGGCAAAAAAAAAAAAAUAUAUUUGUAUAAUCACCAAAUUGAAAAUAGUUUAUGGAAUUUGUAAGUCCAGGUGUGCAAUUUCCAACUAUAUACAUGCAUACUACACUACCCUAAGAAAAUUCACAGUUCUUUCUUUCUCUUUUUAUUUUUUGUUUACACCUUUAUUACACUACCAAUAAUCCAAUACAUGUAUACAUAUAUCAUUAACAUAUAUAGACUAGACAUUUCAUGAUGCCAUAUUCUUUAUACUGAUACCUAAUAAGAUUCUGAUGACUUUCAACUAAUAGGAACUGAUCCCUAAAAACUUACUCUUGCAUAGAGCAAAUCCAAUUCAACAUCCAACACCAUUAUAAUACUCAAAGUCAACUCAACUCAACUAAGCCUUU
rnacentral:misc_RNA from 1 species